GAAACAGAGUAUUACCCAUCACCUAAGAGGCCUCAAGGCCAACCAGAUGGGCCAACCAGUCCCAUCUCAAUCUCAACCACCUACCUUUCUCCAUUAUUGGACUUUACAUGGUAAUUUCUAACUUUUCUUUAUACUUUUAUCACACAAAUAUGCCUCAUUAGAACCUAUAGUUUAGUUUUUUUUGUGUGUGUGUUUUAAAGAAAUGUAUCUUUUAAGCCUCUUUUGAUUGAAAGGAUCUCCCCUCCACCUCUGCUUUUCCCAGGAAAUUUAUUCAUUAGAGAAUCUGGGUCAUUAGGUCUGUGAAGUUUCCCAUAGUCUGUAAUUUGCUGAUUGCAUCCAUAUGGUUUAAUUUGACAUGUUCUUCUGUCCUCUUGUUUUAACCUGUGGAAUGGUAGUUGCAUCUAAAGCAGUGGUUUUUAAUGGGGAGUGAUUCUGCUCUUCCUGCCUGGGGACUUUUGGCAGUGUUUAGAGACUUUUAUUUUUUUAAUUUUUUCCCACUGUACAGCAAGGGGAUCAAGUUAGCCCUACAUGUAUACAUUUUUCCCCCCGCCCUUUGUUCUGUUGCAAUAUGAGUAUCUAGACAAAGUUCUCAAUGCUACUCAGCAGGAUCUCCUUGUAAAUCUAUUCUAAGUUGUGUCUGAUAACCCCAAGCUCCUGAUCCCUCCCCCUCCCUCCCUCUCCCAUCAGGCAGCCACAAGUCUUUUCUCCAAGUCCAUGAUUUUCUUUUCUGAGGAGAUGCUCAUUUGUGCUGGGAAUUAGAUUCCAGUUAUAAGCGAUAUCAUAUGGUAUUUGUCUUUGUCUUUCUGGCUCAUUUCACUCAGUAUGAGAUUCUCUAGUUCCAUCCAUGUUGCUGCAAAUGUCAUUAUGCCAUUCUUUUUUUAUGGCUGAGUAGGAUUCCAUUGUGUAUAUAUACCACACCUUCCGAAUCCAAUCAUCUGUCGAUGGACAUUUGUGUUGUUUCCAUGUCCUGGCUAUUGUGAAUAGUGCUGCAAUGAACAUGCGGGUGCAUGUGUCUCUUUUAAGUAGAGUUUUGUCCGGAUAUAUGCCCAAGAGUGGGAUUGCGGGGUCAUAUGGAAGUUCUAUGUGGAGAUUUCUAAGGUAUCUCCAAACUGUUCUCCAUAGUGGCUGUACCAGUUGACAUUCCCACCAGCAGUGCAGGAGGGUUCCCACAGCCCCUCCAGCACUUGUUAUCUGUGGACUUAUGAAUGAUGGCCAUUCUGACUGGUAUGAGGUGGUAUCUAUCUCAUGGUAGUUUUGAUUUGCAUUUCUCUUAUAAUCAGUGAUGUUGAGCAUUUUUUCAUGUAUUUGCUGGCCAUCUGUAUAUCUUCCUUGGAGAACAGUCUAUUCAGGUCUUUUGCCCAUUUUUACAUUGGUUGAUUGGCUUUUUUGCUGUUGAGUUGUAUGUUUAGAGACUUUUUAAAAAAACUUUUAUAUUGGGGUGGGUGGUGCUACUGCAUAUCUUACAACACACAGGCCAGAUCCCCACAGCAAGAAGUUAUCUGGCUCCAAACACCAUUUAGUGGUGAAGUUGAGAAAUCCCAGUCUAGAGGUUUGUUCAGAUUCAGGUUCAUUUUUUUGUGUGUGUGGCAAAAACAGCAACAACAACAAAAGAUGGUGUGAUGUGUGAUCUUUCAUCACACCAUCAUAGCAUAAUGUCUGGAUAUCUGUAUUUUUAUGAUAAUAGAAACUUUUUUUUUUUUUGGCUUUUUGCCUUUUCUAGGGCCGCACCCACGUGGCUCAGUUCUGGCUUUGCUGUGGUUCUGGUGUAGGCUGGCAGCUACAGCUCAGGUUCAACCUCUAGCCUGGGAACCUCCAUAUACCAUAGGUGUGGCCCUAAAAAGAUAAAAAANAAAAAAAAA
rnacentral:lncRNA from 1 species